rnacentral:rRNA from 1 species
CGGGUGAGUAACACGUGGGUGACCUGCCCUCCACUCUGGGAUAAGCCUUGGAAACGGGGUCUAAUACCGGAUAUGACCACAUGUCGCAUGGUGUGUGGUGGAAAGCGUUUAGUGGUGGGGGAUGGGCCCGCGGCCUAUCAGCUUGUUGGUGGGGUGAUGGCCUGCCAAGGCGACGACGGGUAGCCGGCCUGAGAGGGUGAUCGGCCACACUGGGACUGAGACACGGCCCAG